rnacentral:rRNA from 1 species
CAUGGUUAGUACUUGGAGUUCUCAUCUGAUUUCAGAAGCCAAACAGGGCUAACCAUGGUUAGUACUUGGAUGGUUGACCACCAAGGAAUCUCAAGGAUCUCCAUGC